rnacentral:lncRNA from 1 species
UCUCAUGGUAAUCAGCCCCCGGCAUCACCUCCCGGCCGCGGCUGCGCCCGCUCGGAGCGCGGCUCGCGGACCCCGGGGACCGGAAACAGGGCGGCGGGCGGGGAGCAGGCGAGCGAGCCAGGCUCAACUCCGAAUGGAUUGGAUUGCGAGUCUGCACGUGAGAAAACCGUUUGGCUUGGCUUGGACCCCUGCCGCCCCCCACCUCCUCCACACACACCCAGUCCAGGGGUCCCCUUUAUCACCCUUUGCUUGCAACUCCAAAAGAAGUUGCCCACCUCCUGAGUCACAACACAAG